UACGUAGGGAGCGAGCGUUAUCCGGAUUUACUGGGUGUAAAGGGUGCGUAGGCGGCAUGGUAAGUCAGAAGUGAAAUUUUGGGGCUCAACCCCAGAGCUGCUUCUGAAACUGCUGUGCUAGAGUGUGGGAGAGGAAAGUGGAAUUCCGAGUGUAGCGGUGAAAUGCGUAGAGAUUCGGAGGAACACCAGUAGCGAAGGCGGCUUUCUGGACCAUAACUGACGCUGAGGCACGAAAGCGUGGGGAGCAAACAGGAUUAGAUACC
rnacentral:rRNA from 1 species